GAACCCAAACAUCCUCCUUUUAACGUAUGAAACAUCACUCCAACUUUUGCAUAACACGAUCAAUCCUGGAAUCGAAUGAGCUGUAACAGCGACUGACUAAUUUUCAAACUUGUUUAAAAAAGUUAUUCGAACUGCGAAUGACAUUUACCACGGUGUGUGAAUGAACUGACAUUCAAUUUUAGGACAACAAUUUAUCAACUGAAGCAUCAUCCGCAAAUCGGAUGACGAGCGGUUUGGGCGCGCCCCACAACGAAAAUCAUCCGAUGUUGAACUGAUUUGCCGACGCAGCGGGAGGAAGAUCGAAGCUCAUCUUGUUUGCCAAGUGCCGCCAUUUGUAGAAUCAAGAACUUGAAAAGCAGUUGAGGAAAGGACUUCGAAAAUGGUAAAUUCUUUGUUGGCAAUCUGAAUCUUGGAUGAAGGUGAUUAUAUAGGAAGCAAUGACCGGCGAUACAGUUGGAAGACGCAUUGGGGCACUCGAGGAGGAAUCGAAGAAAAGGCCGACCGGUGCCGGUCUUUUUGGAGCAUUAUUUAUUUUGUGAUUUUUAUUAAAUUUUAUAUGUUCGUGAUUAAUAAAUAUGUAUUCAUUUAAUUUCACCGUCAAGCGAUGCGUUUUUUCCUCUUUUUGCAAUGAUGUGGGAUUUAUAGGAAAUCAAAAUAAAAUCAACAGCUUUUCUUUUUUAUUUCAAUUUAACAUCAGCCGCAAAUCAUGUUAUUCACGUACAUUAAGCGAAAUCUAUGCAUUCACAUUUCGAAUAGUGUUCUUCCCAUAUUUGGAUGAUUUUCAUUUGACUGACAGUUCGCCGUAUCGGAUCCGACCGUCUGAUCGUCAUCCGGUUUUCGACUGAAUUGCGUUAAAGGGCGCUGUCGUAUCAUUUUGCAGUCGUUUUCGGGGGGAUGUUUCAGCUCAGUGUA